rnacentral:rRNA from 1 species
CGGGACGGGUGAGUAAUGUCUGGGAAACUGCCUGAUGGAGGGGGAUAACUACUGGAAACGGUAGCUAAUACCGCAUAACGUCGCAAGACCAAAGAGGGGGACCUUCGGGCCUCUUGCCAUCAGAUGUGCCCAGAUGGGAUUAGCUAGUAGGUGGGGUAACGGCUCACCUAGGCGACGAUCCCUAGCUGGUCUGAGAGGAUGACCAGCCACACUGGAACUGAGACACGGUCCAGACUCCUACGGGAGGCAGCAUG